GGUGCCGGCUCCCGCCCCCUCAACCGCCUGACUGGAGGCGGCCGCGGCCCUGAGAGGAAGGGGCCCGGGGGGCGAGGAGGAAGAAAGAAAGAAAGAAGGAGAAAGGAGGAGGAAGGGGGUGGCACGACAUGGCUGGCUCUGGUCUACACACGCGCAACUCCCCGGCUCGGAACGGAGGCAAGGAUUAGAACAAGGAGACUGAAUACCUCCUCAGCCAGAGUUGCUUGUUCAUCCUGUCAAAGCCAAGUAAAUAGGCAGCAGCAAGUCAUAUCAGAGAAAGGAGUCAGAAAUUGCACAAUUAGCUCAGAAACUGCUGCAAGAUCCCUCUUUAAACACAGACUUUGUGAAGAAGACCUGUCUCACACUUGGACAAGAGAAAAAUGGAACAUAGGUGGAAGAAACCGCCCACGAGAAAGAUUACAUAGGAAGAGACUGGGAGGAACCAAUUGUCGUAAUUGUGUGCAAUGUGUUUGGGCUUGGAUGGACAGAAACUGAUGACUUUCUGUCUCGCUGAGAGAACGGGAAACCUGGAAAAGCCAGGGAACGGACACAGCCUGGAUCUGAGGGAGGGCAGGGAAGAGAGGGAGAAGAGUUGCAGCUGUGACUAUCACAUGGUCCCUCUGGAGUUCAGUGCAGGGUUACACCUACGCCCUUCCUCUGGUAUUCCUGAAACAUGUAGAUUCCACAACUUUUUUUGCAAGGCUAAAAGCUCUUUUUCAGCUCUCCUCAGUGUCAUUUGACCCUUAGUCACUGCUCAAGCUCUGGAAUUUGUUUCUUUAUAGGACUUCUUCACAGGGCUGAUUUUGAUCAAGCCCAGACAGUAGAGGCGGUCCACUGAGUAUGGCUGCAACCAGAGGGGUUCACUGCCCACAUCCACCUGUAUGACCUGCCACUUCUUUCUCCUAGCAUAUUCUCUAUUCCCAUCUGUGUCUGUGUGAGUCCACUGUGUGCCAUUGUUCCGUAACAACUCAACACAGACAUACCCCUCUCCCUUUGUAUGUAGUCUGCCAGGCCAGCCCUGUACCAUCUUUGCUGUUUCUAUUUAACUUUCCCACAGCCAAACCCCCCUCCUUUACCGGGUGAUACCGGAUUAAUUCCAUUGGAACAUGCCACCUUCACCUUGGCUGUAACUGAAAAAUCAUAUCUCCGUCCAUGGUGGUUUGGUUUGUAUUGUCUCCUCUGGCUGGGCUUUAUCGACAUGUCUGCCCUCAUUCUAGCUGCUGGAGCAAGUCAGUACACUGCCAUCCUCUUCCUUCCUCAACCACCGAGCUGUGUACCCCUCUCCUGUUCUUCCUUACUGAUUGCCAUGUGACACUGUAUUAGACUGUCCACAGAUUUUACACUGUUCAGUUGAUGUAAUAUUGCAGUAGUAAUAGCAAUCUAAUAGGGUGGUCCCCCUAACCUUAAAAGCAUAGGGGAACACCAGCAAGUUAGAACAUGCAGGAGGGCUAUGCCCCAGUCUUGGAAGGCCACCAAGAAAUCCCCAAGCCAGCCCUGUCCCACGCAGGGAGGCUAAUCCUGCGCAUCUGACCAAGAGACCCGUGCGCCCUGACCCAAGCUGCCACGAUGACCAUGGCACGUCCUUGGACAACAUUGGGGCUUUGCACUGUGCUGCAAGAUAGAGGCAACAUUGCGCACUAAAAUGGAAAAACAGAACAAAAAUGCCAACUUUGGGAGAAUGCGUAGGUGGGGACCAUAAGUGUGGGCAAUUUGGUGCUAAGAAGUCCGCAAGCUUCUUAGCAGACUAGAAGCUGGGAGGGAAAAAUGUCAUUUGGGACAUGUAUCUCUGUUUUCUGCAUACACUUUAUGUCAUCGGAAACAUAGCCCUUCCCUGCCUCUAGAUUUUUGAACACAGGCAUGAAGCACAGGUGCUUGUUUAGAUUACAGAUCUAUCCAUAGCAUGUUCCACUCUUCCAGCCUUUACAUCUGUGAUGCUUUCCACGUAGGCUUUACACUUCUCACAAAAAAAAAGGUAGCCAAAUAAACAAUUUGGUUUUUAAUAGCCAGGGCCUUGUGCUUCUGCAGACAUUCCCAGACCUGCACAUCAGUCUGCAGCUAUGCCACCUUACUCCUGCAUCCGUGCUAACUGCAGAGUCGUGUGACAAGCAGAGCUGGCAAUAGGUACAGUUAAGGACGUGAUUACAGGACUUGUGACAAACACAGCACCAAAGUCCCUUGCCCUAAAUAACCUUCUGACAUCCGUAACACUGCGAUAAGUCUGAUCAUGUGAAAGGAGGAAGGAGGUCUUGGGUUAUCUGUGGUGAUCGUUUGGCUUAAAAAUACCCCCCAAUUUUUUUCCCCUCACACAGGAAGAUGAUGCGUAUAUAACAUGCAGCAGGUCUUCAGGCAAGGCGAUCUCACUCAGUAUGACCUUCCUGCGCACAGACCACCCCAGUUUGAGGCAGCUCUUUUGCACCAACUAACAAUUGUACAUCUGUCAGAUCCCUCACCGCUCCAAGUCCUGUGAGACUCCCAGCAAAACAGAGGUUAUUGUUACCAUUAUUUAGAUCAAUUAAAUAGUACCACUUCUUGUCUGUGAUUUUAGAACGGCAGAUAGACUGUAGGGUUCUGUGUCCUACAGUCCCAACUGCUUUUAUAGUAAUGAUAGCCAAGAGGAGAGUCUGAUCAAAACCACAGCUCUCAUCUACUCUGUAGGCAAGUGCUGAUGCAGUCUAAAAUUCUCUCUGCUUUCAUAUUGCUUAAAUUCAUAGUGGGAGAAUAUAAAGGGUUGUGCAUGCUGACAGCUUCAAGAUGGAGCAGAGCAUCAUCACCAGGUUCAAACAGUUGGCAUGAGUGGUUAAAACAAACAUUUCAUACAGUUCUUGUAGCGAUACCUGGCCCAAAUUCACAGAUCUGUAUUCUUCUACAUAUUGCCUAGCUCCAAGCCCCUGGAUGUGCCAUUACCAUUGCUGCACAUCUUCCCUGGAUGCCUCCCGCUCUACCUCCUCUGCUACAUUUGGGCGUAGAGGUAACACUGCGCUUUCAAAUGCCCUCCGCGAACUCAGGUGUGCUGCCAGUGGCCCCUCCUGGUAGACAUCCUCAUUGUGAACUUGUUGACAAUGGGCACAGCCCCUUGUUCCAUCGGGUGAGCGCAGGGCAGCAUCAAGGAUGUCCCUUCCAGGGGAUCCUCUUCUGCCCCAGCAGGACACAUCCACUGCCCAGCAGACUCAGAAAAGCAGUUUGCACUUGCAGGACUUGUGGUUGCUGUAAACACUCUCUAGCAAGAUGCACGUAAUAAUGCAGAAAUUGUUUAGCUCUACUAACGAACAGUCUUUGUUAUAACAGUGUUUUCUGUUCUGCCGAGCCAAGAAUUACCUGCAAUACCAGAAAUUCUAUGCCCUCCACCUUGCCUGCUACUCCUCUGUACCUAAUAAUAACCAUGGUCUUCAGCUCCGCAAAACUCCCACUGGUUUGGGGGGUUUUUUUUGCUACCCUUGGUCUUUCAGCCAUAGCCGUGUCUCUAAGACCACAUGCCUGUAGGCUGCAUCCCAAAGCCUGGGUCUUGCUGCUUCCACAGUAAUCAUGGUCUAACAGUACUGUCUUUAUUUCAUUCUUAGUCUUCUGCUUUUCGUUUGCAACAUCAACCUAAGGAUAAGGAAACACAAGCUUCCAACCCAAGUAUUAUUAGUCUUACAGGUUGCUGUGAGCUCCCCCACUGCAGUGGGUAAGGGAGGCUUCCCCACAACCCAUGUUCUCUGAGUGAAACUUACCUUGAAAUUCAGUUCACAGCCCUGGCUCAUGUGGUCUUUUACAAGACACUCUUCAGGCUCUGACUGCCCACCAGUGUCUCCUAAGGACUUCUGUACAACACCGUCUUCCCCUUCUGUGACAAUCUGGCUUUUUCAGCCCCAAGAAGGCCCACACCACUGUAGUAGCACGUACUUUCCACCUGCUGUUACCACCCUUGGCAGCAAAACUAAAGCAUUUCGUGGGAUUGCUAGUUGAGUGCAACUGUCUCUUCUCUCAUUCCAGUACUAAGAGUGAGGAAUUUGUCCUGGGGCUCCCUGUGUAUUCAAACAAUACAGCUGCCGCCUUUUCCGCUAGCAGGAAUCUGCUGCCCUGUAAAUGUCAGAAGUCCAGCCACAAUACUGCUAUGCUGCGCUACAAACAGAAAAUCAUGAGGACAAUAUGUGACACGAGCAGUCUUUUGAAUUUGUUCAUUCUAGCAUUAGGCUCAUCUGCUUUGAAGACUGCCCAAGCUGUUGAGUAACCACUGUGCCUGGCCUUAGAACUUAACUCUCAAUAGAUUAAAAUCACAUGGGGUUUACCAGUAGUAGUCAAAAUGUUACUAUUUUGUAAGCCACGUUCUACAACCACAGGAACGUAUCACUGAAGAUGCGGGGCCAAAGAAACAGUAUCUCACAGAGCCCAGUUUCCAGUGUUGCUCAUCUACAGCAGGGGUUAUAUGCUGCCUUCCUUGCUACCUUUGUACCCUCAAGCAUGAAGAAAGAAAUCUUCCCCGUACCCUUCCAGUGUUCUCCAUCUGUUUGGCACCCUUAUGACAAAAGACUGCCAGCUACAACACAAUCUUCCAGGAACUCUGGAAUGAAAAUCCUCAGUCAUUACCCAAGUCCAUGCCUUUUUCUCUCUCCUGUCCGAUCUACUUUUCCUAAAACUUCUGUCACAGGUUCAUACGGGCCCACACUCCCACUCUGCACCUAGAAUGGCCAAACCUUCCAUCCAGUAAGAACUUGGGGGUUGUCUCGAGACAGCCUUGAGAGAGGAAAGAUCAUUACUGACCUGGCUGCAGGACUGAAUUUGAACUGAACAACCAAAGAGGAAUCGGUAACUGAUGGGAGCCAGCAGGCUAUGGAGUAAAUCCCAAACUGCACUCUUCAGCUGUGACCUUGGUGGGAAAAGGGGGAAGUUUUAGCUGUACAUGUGCAUAAUUCUAACGUAGUUUUUAUUGAUACUAAUUUCUUUCACAUUAAUAUUUUCAAUUUGUAGACCUGGACAGUGUUUUGAAUAUUUUACAGGGUAACUGUUUUUAGUUUAUAUUCACUUGAAGAGUAACACAUCUGCCACUACUCAGCUGAUUCUUUCAGGUAUUUUUUUGCAAAUCCUUUUGCUUCUGAAGCAAACCUUUUCUGUAACUUCUUGAUAUAGCUGGUAAGAUGUCCAUUCCACGGAAUCAACUGACUCUGCUUUGUGCGCUCCGGCUCUGUCUUCUCCAUACCCUCCCACUAGGCAGUUGGGAACAGCAGCAAGAUCUCUUCUUAGUCUUCUCUCCGAGGCUGAACAAAUCCAGUGCCUUCAACCUCUCCCCGAACGUCACGUACUCCUGCCUCCCGACCAACCUGGUGCUCCUCUGUUUGACUCACUCCACUCAGGUCCGUCUCGUACCGGGGAGCCCGCAGCAGGACCCAGUACUACAGAAUUCACCUCACACAUGCUGAAUAGAGGGGAGCGAUCACUUCCCUCGACCUGCUCUCUUUGCGCUUACUAAUACAGCACGGUACGCGGCUGGCUGCCUUCCCGCAGGGUGCACUGCUCACUCGCGUUCAGCUUGCUGCCCACCAGCACCCCCUGCCCCCCCCCAGGGCUUUUACGCAAAGCUGCUGUCUAGACCGUGGGCUCCAGCCUGUAGAGUUGCAUGGGGUUAUUCCAUUCCAGGUGCAUGGCUUUGCGUACAUUUAGGCUGAAGACUAAAAUAACUUCUCAUAGUCAGGAGUGGAAAAAAUGGGAGAAGCAUGGGAUAAAUAUUUCACUGAUUUCAUAUGGGGCUUUAUCAGCUACUUCUUAGUAAAUAUGUUACUUACAUACUUAGUAAGUACUUAGAUGCCAGCUAACAGGUAAGAUGUAGCACUCCUUAAAUGCCUAAUAAAGUUACCAGAAAUACACCUUAAAUAAUAA